CCCCCCCCAUUAUGGAAAUUUAUUUCUCUUCCAUGCUCAGUGGUGUCGGCAGCCUCUUUGGGGCCAGUUCAGAACUCUGGUCCGAAUUAUUAGCUAAUAACAUUCCUUAGUACAUGUACUACUUACAUUUACAGAGUACAUUGUAAAUAAUUGUAUCUAUUUUUUAAUGCAUGUUCAUGAUCAUUCACAGCACUUACUUUUAUUAUUUUAUAGCUGAAGUACUCGAUUUGCACAGCGCCUGCAUAUAAUCAUCAAGUUUGAUGAAAUGUCCUAAUAUGUAGAUGUAGAUGCUAAGUCAUUCAGUCACCUAGCUUGUGAGAAUGGAAUGCUCACAAAAAGGACAAGAGCGAGAGAGCUGUAUGGAAAUUUAUACAAAGGGUCAGUUAACGGAGUAAGCUGAUAUGGAGGAUAAUAUAUCAAAGGCAGCAUAGGCGUCCAAACUCCUGUUCAAGGUGCUUUUAAUCAGAAGCUUAAGAGACAAAAGACGAGCCAUUGACAAGGCAAAACUGAAUGUUUUAUAUGAAAUUGAGCAAGAAAAGUUUGAAGUGUCUUUGGGAAUGAUCAACAUCAAACUUGCUGAGCUUUUGAAGCCGUCGUACCAAAAGUGAAUCCAUUCGUGACACCAGUUAUCUGACCACCCUCUAACAGAACCAGUGAGGAAGUGAUUCUAGCCAAUACUUCAGAAGUUUAGGACCCUCAAUAAUUAGGAUCUUGGGGCAUGUUGGGGAAAAAAAUAGCAUGUGUUGAUUUUAUGGGAUCUUUCAAAUAUAGUUGUGUAGUAGAUAUUUGUGUACUUAAUACAUAUGUUUGUCACUCUAGUCAUUAACUUUGUAUGGUAAAUGUAUAUGGACCACUGGAAGAUCAUUGUAACUGUAUACAAAUGUUGCAAAUAUACCCUGUUAAGGCUUUAGUGACCUUUCCCAAGGUCAUUCAAUGAAGCAAAAGGUCAUAAUUAAUGUUUUUUUAAAAAAUCUAUUUUGUUUUAUUAUUAAAAAAUGUCAUAUGUUUGAGAUUACUCUAGGUACAAAGGAUUUUCUUUAACCAAAAGUCAUUUGUUUCUCAUGCAGACCGUAAUUUACUACAUGUACAUGCAUGUAUAUUAUAAUAAUUCUCAUUAAUUAAACCAAGGUGAUCAUCCAGUAAUGAUAUUUUUCUGUGGAUUUUUAACAUUGUUUAAAUAAUCUUUGAUGUAAAAUACUUUCAUUGAUAAUACUUUUUAAAAUUUGUGCUUUCAUUAUACAUAGAAGUGUGUAUGCAAUGUUUGUCCCCAAAC